GAAAUAAACAAUGGAUACCAUAUUUUAACUCCUUGAAGCCUCAUAACUCCAUAGAAACUGAAAUGGGUGCAAUCUGAGGUUUUUAGGUUCAUCAGUGGAUUUCGGUCAAAACCCACUGAUGAACCUAAAGACCUUAGAUUGUGCCAAUUUCAAGUCUUAUGGAUUUAUGAGAUUCCAAGGAAUCGAAUGGUGCCACCCAUUGCAUAUUUUGACUUGUUCGAAAAGGUUAAAAUGUUAUAGAAAAAAUAGCUAAAACAACCCAAUGUGGGGCUGAUAUGGUUCCAUAUCAGACCCAUAUUAGGCUUGAUUUAUCUCAUGGUGGAGAUUGUCUUUUAAUAAUUCUUGUUUUCUUUUGAGUUUGGUUGAAAUUGUUAUACCAUAUUUUGUCAACUUUAAUAGAUAUGAUGUAACAGAGGUUUAAUGGGGAGUCAAGUAAAUAUUCGUACCAAGAAAAGAUGCAAUUCCUGCUCCAAUUGCUAGUAUUUUUGAGGAACCAAUCGUGGAAUAGAAUGCUAAAAAGGUGAUUGUAAUGCGCAUUCCGUUUGAAGCUCCUCCAAAGGGACUGGAUCAAAUUUCCGAAGAGCACCAUCAUAAGUGGUAGAGAAACUCCAUUCCCCGCGGCACCAAGCGAACCCAACAACAUCAAGACGUAAUUUCUGAAGUCUGUAAAGGAGAACAAUUUGUACAAGGGCACUGUGAGCGUGCUCUAAUUUUGUUUCUUGUCCUUCCAACUCUCUCGCUUGUUUUGUUGCUCCCCAUUAAACUUCUGUUACAUUAUAUUGAUUAAAGUUGACAAAAUAUGGUAUAACAAUCGCAACCAAACUCAAAAGAAAACAAAAAUUAUCUAAAUGACAAUCUCUACCAUGAGAUAAAUCAGGCCCAACGUGGGCCUGAUGUGAACCAUAUCAGGCCCAUCGUUCAUAUCAGGUCGACAUUGGGUUGUUUUAGUUGAUUCUUUUGACCAUAUUUUAACACCUUUGGAGAAGUCGAAAUAUGUGAUGGAUGACACCGUUGGACUCCUUGCAGCCUCACAAUUCUACAGGACCUGAAAUGAGUCCAAUUCGAGCAAAAAUCCACUGAUGGACCUAGAGACCUCGGAUUGGACUCAUUUCAGGUCCUGUAGAUUUCUGAGGUUGCAAGGAGUCCAACGGUGCCGCCCAUCGCAUAUUUCGAUUUCUCCAAAGGUAUUAAAAUGUUAUAAAAAAAACACGUUAAACUCUAUCAGGCCCAUAUUAUGCUUUGCAUGCAUGCAUAUCUCCUAAAGAGUGAGGAAAGAGAAGAUGGGAGGAAAGAGAAGAGAGGAUGCGCACAUUGCAGAGAGGGAAGAGAAAAGAAAUUGCAUGCAUAAAAAAGAGGAAAGAGAUUGACAAAUGAUUGAGGGUAGAACGGGAAGAAUAGAAAAUUAAGUACGCUAUUUGGUAAAUAUCAAAAUAUAGUAUGCCUUUUGGUCAAUUCAUAAAUCUAAGUGCGCCUUUUGGUAAAUUGCCGAAAAAUUAUUCUAUAUUUAGCCUAUGAAUAAAUUUAUUUGACUAUAAUUAUUGAACUCUAUUUACUUCAUGUGAAUCAAAUACUUCUCUAUUUAAUUCUCCUUAUGUGCAUCUAAAUUGCAUGAAGAAUAAAUUUUUAAUGAGUGUACCAUGAAUAAACUUUACCUAUCUUCUUUUCCUUAUUCUUUUAUUCAUUCUACUUGAGGGGGAAUAAUCACUAAUCAUGUGUCCAGAAUAUUUGUUUUAUUCUUGACUUUUUUCUGAGUAAGUUUAAAAGGUGCCUUAUCCUGUAAUGUUUUGUACGCUAUAUAUGUUAUGAUAUGCUAUGCUUUACAGGUUGCCUAUGACUCCCUACCUGUUAUAUGAUGAUGUAUGUCUUAACUAGGCAAUGAUCAACGGUUUGGCUGCAUGUUUUUUUUUGUCCUAUUGAAGUCUAUUUUUGACAAUACGCAUAGUUAAAACCCAGAGAGUUUGGGAAAAUCUAAAGAGGCUUUGGAAUUUGAUACUUGCUUCACUGAGCAGGUUAUGUUGUGGGCUAUAAUUUAAUAAAUUAGUGUGAAGACAAGAUGCAUCGUAAUUUAAAAAUUGCACUAUUACUCUUUUACCUUUCUCUUUUCUUCAUCUUCUCUCUUCUGGGAAUAACAUAAACAUAAGAUAAAAUGGGUUGUUAGAACCAUGGUAUACAGUUUCCAGCCAUGCUGGUUGGCAUUGGCCGUUUCAACCACCGACCAACAUUGCACCGAUUUAUGGCUCAUGGUAGCUUCGCUAAACCCUACAGUUGCGUGCAGGACUCCACGAGGUCUGCAGGUUUUUUUUAAAUAUUUAUUAUUUUAUUUUUUAAAAUAUUAAUUGUUUUCCUAUCCAAUUCCUUUACAUCUCUUUUUUUUUCCCUUCUGUUAUUUUUUUUCCCUGGUACAUCGCUAUAUUUUUUUUCCUUCCUUCUGGCCUCCUAUAUCGUUAAUUUUUUCCCCUCCUAUAUCGUUAACUUUUUUCCUUCCUUCAUCCGUCCAGGAGGAAAAUAAGAAAAACAAAAAGCUCUUGAAAGAAGGUUAAUUUUUUCCCCUAUCUAUCUGGUCAUGUGGUAAACAAAGAAAAAAUCCAGAUUCUUUAAAAAAAUAAAAAAUUAUAUAUAAUAUAAUUUUUAAUCUUAUAAAAUAUAUACUAUGAAUUAAAUUAUUGUAUAUAUAAAUUUGAUUUAAUUUUAAACUAAUCAAAAUAAAUUUAAAUUAAAUCUAGUUUAAACCUACUUAAUCCUUCCAUGUCUAUGACAAUCAAAUAUUAAUAAAAAUAUUUUUAAUUGACAUAUUUAUAUUUAAAAAUCAGGGGAGCCUUGGCGUAACGAUAAAGUUGUUGCCAUGUGACCAAAAGGUCACGGGUUCGAAUCCUGGAAACAACUUCUUGCAAAAAUCAGGAUAAGACUACGUACAAUGGAUCCUUCCCCGGGACCCUACAUGACGGGAGCUUCGUGCACCGGGCUGCCUUUUUUUUUAUAUUUAUAUU